rnacentral:misc_RNA from 1 species
UUGACAUGGACAAACAGACAAAACAAAAGAAAUUAGGGAAACAAUAGAACAAGAAGAUUUCAAUUAGUAGCCACAAACUCCCUAAAAGAAGUGGUUGGCCAACCAAACCCUAUAUUGCAUCAAGUCAUCAACAUUUGUCCCUUCAAAGUUACUUUUUUCUUAUUCUUUUCUUAUCUUUGUUGUUCUUCCCCUUCUUUUUAUCUUGAGCAAGAAUUUAUUCUAUCUUAUAGUUGGUGGUUUAGUUCUCUUCUCUUAUUUGUUUAUAUAGAUAACUAAACAUUGUCAAAAAAAUCCUCAAUGUAUUUUGUAUGUUUAAUUUGUUGCAAAAAGAUCAUAUGUUAAAGGAUAGGCUCAAUGUGCUUGGUUUCACAGAAGUUCAAGCAGUCAGUUUCAAUACUAAAUAAAUGCUGCCAAUGAAGGAAAAAUAUAUUAGAUAGUCUAUAAUUAAGAUAAUGCAGAAUAGCAAGAAACUUCAAAA